ACAGAAGUUAGUGGUUAUGCAGCUGUAGAGGCCUAAUUUGGCUGAGGAAGCCAUACUGGAUCCUGGGAGCCCUGGGGUCAUCUAGUACCCAUCAGGCCUUCCUCAGACUGUCGGGGUCUAGGAUGUUCCAGUGUAGGGCCAAACCACUCCAACAGUUUCCAGAUCUUAAGAUCUGUCCCAGCUAGUCAACUAACCAAGACUUAGCUCAAAGGCCAUCCCCUUAGUGAAGUCUUUCCUGAUCCCUCUAUCAUUGGUAGAAUAUUUACACUGUUAGUUUAUGUACUGUGUCUAAAUUUGGGGACUAUAGUGAAGUAUUAUUCUUCUGAACACUUGGAAAUGAGGUAGUAAGAAUGCCCCCAGCCUGUUCAACAAGGAACAGAUACCAUAAAUCACCUCAAAAGAGAAAGUUGACUCCCAGGCUCAGGGUGAGGUUUCAUGAUAAAAACCAUGAAAUGGUACCCCCACCCCCACUGCCACCAAUAAGUGCACCUGAACUGUGUGUGCAAUGGUGAAAUCCCUCUUCUCAUUAAGGACGUGUUGGCCAGAUCCCACAACUUUUCAGCUACUUCCUUUCCUUCUGGUAUUUAAGAUUUCGUUCUGGUAUUUGGUAUUAAGUACACUUUAAACUUCGAUUUCAGACUCGAUUCAAUGCCCUCCUCCUCGUUACCCCCUAGAUCUGUCCCUAGCUCUGGUGACUGAGGAAGUGGGAGGGAAAUUGGUGUUUUGCUAUUUACAUUCAUCCCUAUUUCUUCUGAGUGCUAGUUCCUUGUUGUGUUGGGAUGAGUAAGGGCUGGGGGAAAAGGGCAGAUAUCUCCUUAACUGGGCCAAAUUGCAGUCUGCAUAUUUGGUCUCCAGGGUUGUUAUUGGUCUCUGUCCAUGAGCUUCAAGAGGAGCGUGGUGGCCCCAACCUGCCCCCUGACAAGGGGCUGUCUUCAAGGCAUGCUCUUAGGAAAUAGCAAUCUCUUGUGAGGAAUUAUGGGGAACAGAGGUUAGAAUCUUUGAUUCUUUAUUUACUACCUCAUAAUUAAUUUGGUUUGGAUAAGGAUCCAAAUUUCUGUUUCCAUUUACUUUUCUUCCAGCAUUUGCUUAUGUUAGUACUUGGCAAAGGUAGUUUGUAGAAAAUAAAUGUGUUUUACUGAAAUAGUAAUGUUUAUUUUGGCAAACACUUUUCUCAUUAGAAGGCAAAGCUAAGAGCAACUACAUUUAUCCAUGGACACCAGUCUAAAUGGACAUGUAUUUUUUUUUAGUAGAUACUAUUGAGAUUGUAACACUAGAAAUGCACUGGUUAAAAAUAUUACCAUGUGAAGCAGUUCAGAUUUGCCUUAAUCUUACUGAAUUUCUGGAUUUUCACUGUGACAUGGAUUCCUGAUAUUCUAUUAGAGAGUUACACCUAUUUAACUUGGAACCAGUAAGCAACAAAUCAGAUUGUUUUUGAAGAAUUCCACUACAUAUGCCAAUGUAAGUAGAAGCUGCCAAAUUGUCUGGAAGACUGUUUUAAAAAUUUGGAAACUAUAAUUAGGAACAUGCUAAUGGAAGCUCUGAAAAGUGGCUAUUACUACUUUGUUUAUUUGAUUCAUAUAAGAAAAAUAUUUUUCUUUCACAUGAAUACCCUUCUACUAAAGAAAAUGAAUUGUAUUUUCCUUGAAUCCCACCUAUGAAUCUUUUGAGAUAACUUAAAGAGUUUAAAGAGUCCAUUUUAAGAAAAUAUUGACAACUGAGUGGUAAAUUGACAUUUUAAAUCAAAUGGGAAAUAUAAAUGAAAUUACCUGACCAGCCUACAUUUUAGAGAAAGACCCACUCCAGAAGAAGAGGGAGAAAUGAAGGCAGGGAAGCAGGUUUCCAGUCAACCAGAGAUCAAAGAAUGAAGAAGAAAAUUCAGCUGAGAAAGACAAUGUUGGGGGUUUUUUUUUAAACAAAAAGAAAGACAAAUUAGCAUUUUAAUUGCUGUAUAUAACAUGUAGUUUAGACACAAAGAACAGACUAACCAGAUACAACAGACAUACUUGGAAUUGAAUUCCGCUUACAAAGUUACACUGUAGUCCUAUAAAUUCUACCCACAAAUAGCAAUAGACAUCCCAGUAAAGAAUCAGUUGUAGAUCAAUGUUUAAAUAAGUUACUAGUUUUCAGAGACCCAAAUAAUAUUGAUUUGACAAGCUUUUGAGCACUUUUAAUUAUAUGAAAAUUAAUGCAUAACUAGUAGCAGGGGAUGGUUUUUCUCUUCAGUGAAUUUUAGAACCGGACACUAAUCCCAUGGAUUACUCUUUUCCUGGUUCUUGAGGUUUCACUGGGUGAGCACUAUUUUGGUAAAAGAACUUCUCUCUGAUUUUUCCUUAAUGGCCACAUGCCAUACAUCUGCAAACACAAACCCAGGCUCUCCCUUUCAUCCAUACAUGCCAAGGAAUAUAAACAAGGGGUUGAGAACAAAUCACCUCUGGUCCCAAAUUAGAAGGGAGCCUUUGGGAGCCUGCUAUUUGCUGCUGUCUUUAGGUAAUCCUCUGACAUCCUGGGUUCAGGGUCAGUCUGACCAGAAUCCCAAGGGUGUCAAACUCACAUGCCUGCCAUGAAGAGCCAGGCUGGAAGCACAUGCCUGAAGAGGCUGGUGUAAGAAAAGUUUAAAAAAGAAGGAAUCAACAAUUUAAAGAAUGCAUGCCUCCACACCUUAAAAACAUGUUCAAAUUAUAAUUUAAAAGAAGGACUAUAAAGCACAAUGGCCCUGACUACACGGAUCUUAGCUGCAGGCCGCCAGUGUGAGACCCCCCUGGACAAGACCUAGACAAAAAUCUUUGCUUGACCUGUCUUUCUAAGCUGCCUUCCGUGACUUAACCUUUUGCCUGACAGGUUUCAUGUAUCUGCGGGAUCCGUCCAGCCCUUUCCAGCAGUUUGGACAUUUUCAUUUCUUUUCUGCUGGAUGCGUAGUGUCUGUGAGUUACCCCCCUGCCUUACUAAAUUCCAAGUUGUAUUUUUCCCCAAAGAGACUGCCAUACUGCUAUUCGUGACGUGGCACAUUGCCGGGCCUACUGCUCUUGGGGUGCGCACAAAGCUCACAGUUAUAUAUUAAGUACGAGCUGCUCAAACUGCCCUUUUAUUUACAACAUCAAUUACACAUCGCUUUGUUUCAACCUGGCCUUUAUUCAGGAAGCCAGACUAAUCUACCAAAUCCAAUGGGCCAUGGGGAAAAAGAGAUCAUUAUGAUGUAUACUACUUGCCACAUCCUUCUUGCCUUUUCUCCUCUAUCCUCUAGUAGACGACGGUCUAGCAAAUUACUUACUAAAUAUUAGACAAAGCAGGCAAUGAUUUUGUAAUUUCCCUGUAAUGCCUUUUUGUCCUGCCAUUUUUAGGAGGCCAUCAAUAACUCCAGAAAACGGGGCUUUCUGUGGAAACCUUGACUCAUUUAUACCUAUUGUAAUAAUAACUGUAUUGAAUCUUUUUAACCCUCCCAUUAGGGUGACAUAGAUGAUAGGCUUAUCAGUUAAAGUGUUGAUAGAAGAGUAUGGAUCAAGUCCUGAACCAAACACAUGAGUAUAAUCUGGGAUAGAAAUGAAACAGGUUGCAAAUACAUGUGAAAAAUGUGACCAUCUCCUUUAGCAAUGUACCAUACUCAUCAAAGAAGAAAAACAUAUACCCUUUUCUCUUUAUCUUUGCUGUCAUGAGAAACCUUCAGUGUGUCCACGAACUUGCUGAACUUGUAUUAUAUGCAGUGUUUUGGGGGAGAGGGUCUUUACAUGUCAUUAGGUUUUCAAAGGCGUCCAUAAUUCAAAAAGGUCAAAGGCGUCCAUAAUUCAAAAAGGUUAAUAAUCACUGAUCUGGAACCACAAAACUUUAUAUAAACUGCCAUUUAAAAAAUAAUUUCCACUCUUUAUGUCACCUGGGGUGUUGGGGAAACUUGAGGCACUAAAGAUCACAUACCUUGUGGGUAUGAUCCCUCACCUCGACUGUCUCCUUUUAUAGGGCCCCUUUCCUAUAUCUCCUGGGAGAGGAAAAAGAUUUUCUUUUCAAUAUAUUGACUGUCCAAUUGUAAAUUGGGUUUACAUUAGUUUUAUACCUCUUGUGAGGCCCGUAUGCAGAGAAUCUCAAGCUGAAUAUUAACUGACUACAAGGAAGUGUAUCCAAGAAAAGUAUGGAAAUAUUUCCAUUCUUGUCUUUUUAAAUUGGAAAAGUGAUAAAACUUUACUGAAUUUGGAGAUUAAAUAUAGAGCAAAGGGAUGCCACUAAAUGCUCAACAGUGCAGAGGCCUAGGAUUUGGAAAGCUUUUCUUCUACCUCUGGAAUGGGGCAGUUGUGACAGUUGAGCUUUUGCUGCCUUGGGCACCAACAAAGGUAUAAAAGCCAACUCAACAGAGAAAGUUCACCAGUAUACAGUAGGGAGCUUAAUAAGGUUUUUGAUUAUAACAAUAAAUGCAAGGCAAUGACCAAAUACAUUCAAUGAAAAGGUUAAAAGAAUAUUUUUAUAGUAAGAUAGCCACACUUAAUAAGAAGAUUUUAAAUUUCCAAAAAUAACAUUCAUAACCAGUUUUUAUAGUUUCUCAUUUUA